GGCGAACGCUGGCGGCGUGCUUAACACAUGCAAGUCGAACGGAAAGGCCCUGCUUUUGUGGGGUGCUCGAGUGGCGAACGGGUGAGUAACACGUGAGUAACCUGCCCUUGACUUUGGGAUAACUUCAGGAAACUGGGGCUAAUACCGGAUAGGAGCUCCUGCUGCAUGGUGGGGGUUGGAAAGUUUCGGCGGUUGGGGAUGGACUCGCGGCUUAUCAGCUUGUUGGUGGGGUAGUGGCUUACCAAGGCUUUGACGGGUAGCCGGCCUGAGAGGGUGACCGGCCACAUUGGGACUGAGAUACGGCCCAGACUCCUACGGGAGGCAGCAGUGGGGAAUAUUGCACAAUGGGCGGAAGCCUGAUGCAGCAACGCCGCGUGCGGGAUGAAGGCCUUCGGGUUGUAAACCGCUUUCGCCUGUGACGAAGCGUGAGUGACGGUAAUGGGUAAAGAAGCACCGGCUAACUACGUG
rnacentral:rRNA from 1 species